AACGAACGCUGGCGGCAGGCUUAACACAUGCAAGUCGAGCGCCCCUCACGGGGAGCGGCAGACGGGUGAGUAACGCGUGGGAACGUACCCUUUUCUACGGAAUAACCCAGGGAAACUUGGACUAAUACCGUAUGUGCCCUUCGGGGGAAAGAUUUAUCGGAAAAGGAUCGGCCCGCGUUGGAUUAGCUAGUUGGUGGGGUAAAGGCCUACCAAGGCGACGAUCCAUAGCUGGUCUGAGAGGAUGAUCAGCCACAUUGGGACUGAGACACGGCCCAAACUCCUACGGGAGGCAGCAGUGGGGAAUAUUGGACAAUGGGCGCAAGCCUGAUCCAGCCAUGCCGCGUGAGUGAUGAAGGCCUUAGGGUUGUAAAGCUCUUUCACCGGUGAAGAUAAUGACGGUACCUGGAUAAGAAGCCCCGGCUAACUUCGUGCCAGCAGCCGCGGUAAUAC
rnacentral:rRNA from 1 species